rnacentral:rRNA from 1 species
UGGGGAAUUUUGGACAAUGGGGGCAACCCUGAUCCAGCCAUGCCGCGUGAGUGAAGAAGGCCUUCGGGUUGUAAAGCUCUUUCAGCCGGAACGAAAAGGUUACGGUUAAUACCCGUGACUAAUGACGGUACCGGAAGAAGAAGCACCGGCUAACUACGUGCCAGCAGCCGCGGUAAUACGUAGGGUGCGAGCGUUAAUCGGAAUUACUGGGCGUAAAGCGUGCGCAGGCGGUUUUGUAAGUCAGAUGUGAAAUCCCCGGGCUUAACCUGGGAACUGCGUUUGAAACUACAAGGCUAGAGUGUGGCAGAGGGGGGUGGAAUUCCACGUGUAGCAGUGAAAUGCGUAGAGAUGUGGAGGAACACCGAUGGCGAAGGCAGCCCCCUGGGUUAACACUGACGCUCAGGCACGAAAGCGUGGGGAGCAAACA